GCAACCUGUUCUACAAAGCAAGACCCUGCCUCAACACCCAUGACAACAACAAAACAACAAAUAAAGUAGAAUAAGGUGGAGACAGCCAGUUGUAGAAUACACACUCUCGGAGGCUGAGGCAGGAGGGUGGCAAAGUGGAGCCUGGCCUGGACAACUCAGAAACUUAGCAAGAGCCUAUAUUAAGAUUAAAAAUAAAGUGCUGGGGAUGUAGCUCACUGUGGAGGCCCUGGGUUCAAUCCCCAGUGAUUUAGAAAAAUAAAGGAGCAGUCAAAGGUGAUCAAACAUAGAUAUAGUCAGAGACCCAGCAGAGCUGGCUGUGUGGGGGGCAGAGGCCGGUCAUGGGGCCUGCUCAUCCUGAGUGUGGGUGGACUUGGGGCCAGGCACACCAAAGGCCAGGACUGAUCUCUAUUUCCUUCCUUCCUUCCUUCCCUUUUUUCCUUUGAGAUGCUAGGGACAGAACCCAGGGCUUCCUGUGUGGCGGGCAGAUGUUCUGAGCUGCCCCUGCUCCAGUCCUUGUUUUUAGGUCUGGCUUAGUGGCCCAGGCUGGCCUUGAACUUGCAACCUUCCUGCCUCAGCCUCCUGAGUAGCCAUGAUUGCAGGCACACACACACCCACCCCCUACGUCCAGCUAUGCUUAUUUAUUUCAAAGGCCUGGAAGCUUGGGGAGGCCAUGGAGGUCGGAGAUGUGGGCUGUCUCCUUGGGGACCUGGCCUCCAGCACCUUUGGAGGGGGACAGUCACUGGGGACCCCAGGCAGAACCCCCAGGGUGGGGCCAUCUCAGGGACAGCCCCGCAGGCUGGCCAGAGCCCCCGAGCCGGGCUCCCUGUGGUUGCAAGGAGAGCAGGGGCAAGAUCUGAACAACGGCUGUGUGCUGGAGGUCAAGAGGGCUGAGCGGCAGCGGCAGGGUUGGUGCCGAGGAGUUCGCUUUGUCUUCGACGGGAAGGAGCUGGCCUUCCGGGUGAGGGUGAGGCUGGGCCCGCGGCGGCCCCUGGGGACAGGGCUGGGGCUCGUGGGUGCCUCAGCUCCCCUCUGGCCCCACAGACCGUCCCGCCCGUGGUGGUGACCUCCCACGGCAGCCAGGACCACAAGCCAUGAGUAACUGUCCUCGACCCCAGGGCUGGGUCUGCACCCUGCCAGCCCACUCUUGCCCCCUGCCUUAGUCCCCUCUGCUUCCGCCUCCUUUCUGGGGGCUCUGGGUCCUCCCCGUCUCCUGACCGCACGUGUGCAUGGACACGUCCAGUGCCCUCAGCCGCCCACUGUCGCCCCGCAGGGCCUGUCCGUGUCCUGGUCACAGUUCAGCAGGGUGUGGGCCCCUGAGACCUGUUCCUCUCCCAGGCCCAGGCUGGGGUCACAGCCUCCGCCUCCCAUGGUGGGACAGAUGGGACCAGACCCCAAGACACACAGCAGGGGCACGCCAGGCCAGGACGACUGAAGGGACCUGGGCCUGAACCAGUUUGUAAUUAGCAGCCCCUCUGCCUCUGUUUCCCCACCUUUCGGGUGAAGACAUGAGGCAGAAAUGACUUUAGAGGUCCAGCCAGCCUGGAUCACUCUUUAGAGCUCCCCUCCCAGGCUGGGUGAGGUGGUGCACACCUGUAAUCCCAGCAAUUUGGGAGGCUGAGGCAGGAGGAUCACACAUUUACAGCUCGCCUGGGCAACUUAGUGAGAUUUUCUUUCCAAGUAAACAACAAAAGCCCCAGGGUGGCGCUCACUCCUGGCUCCUCGGAGCCUGCUGAGGACUCUCAAGCCACACUGGAACGACAGCACCAUCCUGGGCUUGGUGAGUAGGCAGCGGGCGCACAGCCCGCCCAACGGCACCUUCCUGCUGCGCUUCAGCGACUCGGAGAUGGGCAUCCUCACCAUCGCCUGGAAGUCGACUCCUGAGUGGUGGGUUUGUGUCUCUCCAACCCCCGCCCACCCUGCAGUCGACCGCACCCCCUGGAAGGGACCUCAAGCCCUGCACCGCGACAUGGGCUGCCUCUGUGUGCUCCCCGACUGGCCCAAGGACAAGGCCUUCUCCAGCUAACGCCGUGGACGGCUACGUGAAGCCACAGAUCAAGUAGGCGGUCCCCAAACGAGUGUCCAGCCCCCACCCUGUCCCCGCCGUCCCCGACCCAGCCCCAACCCCAUUCUGGACCAGGAUGGACACUUCAAGCUGGACAAGACCGUGGACGUGGCCCAGCACGUGGAGGCGCUCCUGUGCCGGCCGCGGCUGCCUGGACAUGUGCCUCUCCCCCCCGCAGGGCUCUUCUCCCCGGCCACGGCGCCCUGUCCUGAGCCAGCCCGGCUCCUCCCCGGACAGGGCACACAGGAGCGGUCGUGGCACUGCUGUGCACACUGGUGCCUUCGCAGGCCGUGUGGACACUCCGUGGGCCUGGGCACAUGGCUACAGCAGCGGUGGCCCUAGGAACCAUGGGUGCUGCUGGGGCAGAGACAAUCUGUCCUUAAGGGCCCAGGCCACGGCCCGGCAGACUGAGCUCCAGGCCCUGGGCACAGCGGCCCUGCAGGGGCUGUUUCCACGCCCAUCCCUGUCCCGCUGAUGGCGCCUCUGCACCGCCCCCUCGCCUCUCGUGCUGCCUGGCUUCCCCGUGCGACCUGGCUUUUGAGAAAGGGAGGCGCACAGGGUGGGACCUCUGUGACCGCUGUGACCUGAGCAGCUGUGGCCGGGAGGCCACGAUGCCCCCCAGGUGAGUGACAGCUGUCAGAGCUGAGGGUGACAGAUCGGAGCCUGGCUUCUGACUUCUCCGUAGGGAGUGGAGCCGGAGGAUUCCUCAGUACAUUGCACACGGACCACACCUGUGU